CGCCGUCUCACUCAUUACAAACCCUCUUCGCCACUUUUGCAGUUCGAUGUCGACCGAUUCGCCUAAUCCCACACAACGGAUCUCAACGGCAUCUAAAAGACCAAACUUCAGCUUGGAUGGUUCUCAGAGUCAGCAAAUGGUUAACUCACACUUGAAACGAUCUCGCAAGAUGAAGAUGAAGGGAGACCGAACUAGGAGAUGUUGGACUGACAGAGAGGAUGAGGCAUUGGUUCUCGGCUUUCAAGGACCUUGUCGCAGAUAAGUGGAAGUCUGGCAAUGGUUUUCGAGGUGGCUAUCUUUCGAAGCUUGAAGAUAUCAUGAAGAGCAAGUUUCCUUUGGCAAACAUCAAGGGAACUCCACAUAUCACAUCCAAAUUUAGUGCUUGGAAAAAGCACUACGGCUCGUUGGGUAAAAUCUUGGACAGGAGUGGAGUUGGGUUUAAUGUGAAGGAUGACUACAAAAUAGAUUGUGAUGAUGAUCAGUGGGAUCAAAUUGUGAAGGUACGAUAACGAUGCUCAAAGAAGUGAAAUCGCUCGUACAACUCACGCCACGAGAAGGUGAGCCCCAGGUCAGCUGUGAUCACCACCGAAACUUGCUCGAGCACGUCGAAGGGGAUGACCAUACCAUCCCACUCAGCCAUUUUCUUCGACUUGGUGAUGACAGAGAGCAUGAGCGAGUCAACUUCGGCGGUCCAGUAUGAUUUGUAGAAGAAUGACCCUUGCCUCGGAAUGUUGGUUGCCAUUUGUAUGUGAGAUGGAAAGUGUAGAGAAUGUACAAGAAUUAAAGAUGAGCAAUGGUUAAGUAGUGAAGCUGGCGUGUUUUGCAGCAGGAGCAGGUGGUACACCCCUCAAAUCAAUUCACGGGUUGGCAAAACAAAUAGUGUUAUUCACCUCUCUUUAUACAUAGAACCUCCCACCAUCUACAUAGCAAGUAUUGAUAUCUUAUAUUGAUUUUCAUCAAAGAAAUGGCUACUCUGCCCGUGGACGCCUACCCUUCGAAUUUGAAACCUUCAUUCUGCAAAAUAAUGUUCAGCGAUGACUACGACAUCCGUUUGAGGUUCCCUCCACUAUGGUAUGCUGUUUACGGGAGGGAUCUUCCUUCCGAAUGCGAACUUCAGCUGCCAAAUGGAAUACCUUGGAAGGUUGGGAUAUCAAAAAUCAACAGGGAAAUUUAUUUCGACAAGAAUUGGCCAAGGUUUAUUCAAUACAACAAUAUCGAAAGAGGUCACACACUCGUCUUCAGCCAUCAUGGUGGGUCGGACUUCAAAGUAUUGAGGUACAUGGCUGAUGGAUGCAUGCCCGAACAAGACAUAGUAGGUAAGGUUUUCAUACCAUUCUCAAUAGCUUAGAGAUGAAGCUCGUUUGAAACCUAUUAACUUCUACAUCACUUAUGAAUAACACGAGGGUUGUUGAACACAAGACGUUACCAUCCACUGGGCGAAGAAAGCAAUGAUAGUGAUGUUGAGCCUCACUAUGACCAAUCUGGAGUUGUGUAGGCGUUGCCUGCUUUCACAUGUGUUUUGAUGUCGUCUGACUUGAAGGGUGGACCGAACUUGCCGAACAUAUGGUGGAAAACUCACAUCCAAGAUAAAGAAUCUAUUGAAUUAGUAACCUUAUGGGUAGGCAUAAAAUCGUGGGAUAUCUUUGUGAAGAUAAAAGAUGGUGACGUGUGGAUAUGUAGAGGAUGGAAGAAAUUUGCUCACAUGAAUGAGCUUGAGGUUGGAACACUAUCCAGGUUCGAGCUGCUUCCGGGACCUGCAAACACUUUCAAUGUCACAUUUCAGAGAGGUCGUCGUAAUGAUUAACUGCGUUUGUUCCAAAAAAUAUAUGCUCCGAGCGUUUCGAUGUUUUUAUUUAAUUUCGUAUAGUAUCUGCGUUUGUAUUUCGAAUAGUAUUAUUGCCCUUGUUUUUAGCUCGAUUAUGCUCUGAGCAUUUGUUAGUAUGUUAGUAUGUCACUCAUGAAGAUGCC